UUUUAUUCUUAUUAUCGCUAUUAAUAAUAAAAAAAUGAUUUUUUCCCCGAGUUACUUUUAGUCUUUUAGUUACAUCCCUCAAAAGUGUUGUAUGUUAUUGAGUUGCUCAGUGCCUCUUUGUUAAUCUUACGUAGGGUUGCUUUUCUGUUAUAAUUCCGCCAUCAUAACUCUUGUAUUAAGAAGGUCACAUUUUCUGGACCAACUUGAGGGAUAUAUUAAUAAAAUGGACAUCAUCAUUUUAUUCAUUGGAGGACUUAUCUCCCUAUGGUCCUAUGGUCUUCAAUUAAGCAAUGGAGUUGAAAUGUUUCCAAUAUUCACAGAGCCACUCGGAGAUCAAAUAGCACGCGUGGGACAAAAUGUUACUUUUACAUGUAAAGUCAAGCAUAUCAAGGCUUAUAAGGUUGGUUGGGUCAAGGCUGACACAAAGGCCAUACAAGCCAUUUUUAAUCAUGUCAUAACGCAUAAUUCACGAAUAUCUGUUACACAUAAGAAUCGCCAAGAAUGGAAUCUACACAUCACGGGAGUAACACUCGAGGACGCAGGUCCUUAUAUGUGUCAGCUCAAUACAGAUCCAAUGAUAUAUCAGAAAGGAGAGCUUACGGUCUAUGUGCCACCGGAUAUUGUCGAGGUACGUGGAGAUCAUGAUGUCGUGGAGGGUGGUGUUGCAAAGCUGUCUUGUGAGGCGGCUGGGUAUCCACGUCCCAAAAUAUACUGGCGAAGAGAGAACGUUGGAGAUAAAAUCAUUGUGUGGGAUCGGAAAAGUGGCCAAAAAAGAGAAGUGGACCGUGUGGAAGGUAAAACACUUCAACUCUUCAAAGUUAAAAGGUCACAAAUGGGUAAUUACAUGUGUAUCGCCAAUAAUGGUUAUACACCAGCAAUAAGUCGACUUGUUCGUCUCGCAGUCAAUUUUCGUCCGGUCAUAAGCGUCCGCGAACAAAAAAUAUAUGCUAGGAUAGGAGAUGACGUUCAAUGUGAUUGUGUGAUUGAAGCCUAUCCACGUGGGAUACGCUACUGGGAGCUUGGAACUGGUGAAAUGAUAACCGAGAAAAACUCCAAGUAUCUCAUUCGUGAAAUCAAACUAUCAGAGUACACGAUAAAAACACAGCUCACAGUCAGAAACUUUAGUAAUAGCGACGAAGGUGCCUACAAAUGUGUAUCCAAGAAUGCCAUGACCAAUGCUGAUGAUCGUGUCGAAGGAAUCGUUUUUGUUAAUAGAGGUGAUGAUGUUAGGUUAAGGAGUAACUCAACAUCAGGUGGACUGAGUCUUCUUCUUACCUUGCUCUUGUGUCUUUUCAUCCCUUAAAUCAGAACCACCACAGACCACACCCUUAAUUUUUUUUCACUCCUACAAACAUAGUCUCAUCUGUUGUUAUUACCUUCAUUCCUUGAAAUCAUCGAAACCACAACAGCGUUUCGUUUCUAUAAUACUUAUACACACUACUCAGACUUUGACAACUAUAAUGACAUGAUGAGCA
rnacentral:misc_RNA from 1 species